rnacentral:rRNA from 1 species
AAUAGAUACCCGGGUAGUCCACGCCGUAAACGAUGAGUGCUAAGUGUUAGAGGGUUUCCGCCCUUUAGUGCUGCAGCUAACGCAUUAAGCACUCCGCCUGGGGAGUACGGCCGCAAGGCUGAAACUCAAAGGAAUUGACGGGGGCCCGCACAAGCGGUGGAGCAUGUGGUUUAAUUCGAAGCAACGCGAAGAACCUUACCAGGUCUUGACAUCCUCUGCCAACCCUAGAGAUAGGGCGUUCCCCUUCGGGGGACAGAGUGACAGGUGGUGCAUGGUUGUCGUCAGCUCGUGUCGUGAGAUGUUGGGUUAAGUCCCGCAACGAGCGCAACCCUUGAUCUUAGUUGCCAGCAUUCAGUUGGGCACUCUAAGGUGACUGCCGGUGACAAACCGGAGGAAGGUGGGGAUGACGUCAAAUCAUCAUGCCCCUUAUGACCUGGGCUACACACGUGCUACAAUGGAUGGUACAAAGAGCUGCGAACCCGGCGAGGGUAAGCGAAUCUCAUAAAGCCAUUCUCAGUUCGGAUUGUAGG